AAUCGUUGUAAAAGUGUGACUAAUAAGAAGUAGAAGAUAUAUGAGAGAAGGAAAAGGUGCUUCACAUUCGGAACGUGAAUAAAAUAUAGAUCUCUGCGAAAGCAGAUAGUACUUACUUCCUCAUAUGAACUACCAAAGAAAUUGAAAAAAACAAAGAUUGUCUUUACAUUCCAAUUUUAAGGAAUUUAAUUCCGUCACUAUAGUAGAGAUGGAUGAAUGUUUUGUUUGACAAAACAUUGUUCUUUAUUAAUCAAUGAUUGGAUUAUAGUAAUCUAAUUGAUUGUCUCUAUAGUAGAGAUAAUAUGGUGGUGUUAACUGUUUAGAACAUAAUGAUGCUUAAAACCCAAAAAGGUUGCAAGGUAGUGACUAAUCCCAACUAAGUUGUGAUUCCUCUAAAAACAUAAGUUAUGAGUUGGUGAAAGAUGGAUGCUUUGGAUUGUUAGAUCCGGAUCCAAUACCUUCUUGUUAAAAUUGUAUAGAGGCGAAAUGUUCGAAUCUUUAUUCUUUUGGAAAGAAGAAAGAAUCACAAAGUUGUUGAGGUUAAUUCACUUAGAUGUUAGUGGCACUUAUCCACAACAUAAUACUACUCAUGUUGGAUGACAUUCACCGAAGAUCACUCUCGGUUGGACUAUAGUUUAUUUUG
rnacentral:lncRNA from 1 species